GAUGAAGAACGUAGCGAAAUGCGAUACGUAAUGUGAAUUGCAGAAUUCAGUGAAUCAUCGAGUCUUUGAACGCACAUUGCGCCCUCUGGUAUUCCGGAGGGCAUGCCUGUCCGAGCGUCAUUGCUGCCCUCAAGCACGGCUUGUGUGUUGGGCCCCGCCCCCCGAUCCCGGGGGGCGGGCCCGAAAGGCAGCGGCGGCACCGCGUCCGGUCCUCGAGCGUAUGGGGCUUUGUCACCCGCUCUUGUAGGCCCGGCCGGCGCUUGCCGACACAUCAAUCUUUUUUCCAGGUUGACCUCGGAUCAGGUAGGGAUACCCGCUGAACUUAAGCAUAUCAAUAAGCGGAGGA
rnacentral:misc_RNA from 1 species